rnacentral:misc_RNA from 1 species
CCUCUUGUUUUUCUUUCUUACCUUGGAAAAAAUAAUAUGACUAAUACUACAUUCAUUAUAAUAGCACUUAAACCUCAUUUCUGGUUUCACAAAAGUUUAACUGCCAAAAUGGAAACUCCUCUUACCUUUUCUUGUUUUUCUUUCUUCCCUUUACUUGUUUUUCUAGACUUCUAAGCCUCUGGCUAAUAACUGAAGAUGAUGAUAUUUUCUGAUCUGAAAUCUUGGAAGAUGAUUCAACAGGUGAUGAUGAGGCAGGUUCCUGUCUUGCUGCCAUAGCUUGUUUGAGUACUGAAGAAAGAUUGAAGGAAGACUGCGAUGCAGUACUUGCAGGAGUCGCAGGUAUUUUAGGAACACCUAAGGACUUCUUUACCCCAGGAAGCUUAAGCACUAAAAAGUGAUAACAAAAGAAUUACGAGUGUCAGACUCGUAUAAUUUUGGCAAUUUUGACAAUAUCUGUGGAUUAAACUUUGAUAGUUCAUGACAGAAAAAAGCCAACAAAUGCUUGAUAUGAAAGCUCCGAUUUUCUAGAAACGCAAUUGCAAACUUUGAUUACUCAUAAAUUAGAAUUCGGAAAUACUCACCUAGGCCCCAACCAAGCGAGAACAAGUUGGAUGUUAUCCAAUAACAAAAUAUAGCCUGCAAAUAAAAUAGAAGUGAAUAUAAAUUUACUCCGUACUUCUUUCUAUUACCCUAAAAUGGACAUGCCAAUAUCUGCAUAAAACAGCUGAAAGUAGAAAGGAAAGGGUUUUUAGGCGGGGAGAAAACAAAGCAAAAGGAUAACCUAAACUCUCCAUCUCAUGAUGAGGUCUGCAAGUGAAGGAGUAUGUUACCUUGAAUCCUCUUUCAUACUGAUUAUUCUAAGCACUAUAGCAAAAACUACCAACAUAUUCAGUAAGAAGAGGACACAGACUUAUAUGGAAGUGUGCAGAAUAUGUCUCAUAAUACCAUCAAAUGGCCAAUUAAAGGGGGUGAACAUUGCGACUCAUAAUAGAUGUCAUACAAGAUGCAAAGCUUGAGCUAAAAAUAGGUCACAAAAUUACCUUGGGGAAACCCAUGGUCAAUGGAACUGAAACAACAGCAAGGACCCUAGAUACAUUUUUCAUGGUGCCAGCAGCAGGAUUUCCUUCCAUACCUUCUUGCAUAUUGCACUGAGGAUCAAUACAAGUUAGUUGAUUAAAAACACUCAUUUAGUUUUACUUGAAUCGAUAAACCAAGGGCCUACCUCCACUGUUAUCAAGAAAGACAAUGCUGUCAAAAGUGGAAAGAUGUACAGACUAUCUGGUGUUGACAAAUCAACAAACCAAUAAGCUCCACCACUUUUAAAGGACGGCACUUUUUCUGCCAUGUUUGAGAUCGCCAGAAAAAAGGAGAUAAAGAUGGGACCUUGAAUGAAAAGCCCCUUCAGUGGAGUAAAAGGACUCACACCAUAUUCCUUGAAAAGCAUCUGCAUUUGUUUUUGGCCCUCAGCAACGGCUGUGGGGUCCAUACCCUUAUCUUGCACCUGUUGCUUAAUCUCCUCCAAAUGUGGCCUCAAGAGAGUGAGUUUUGAAGUGGCUUUCAGCUGAUUUAUCACAAGUGGAAGUGUUGCCCCUCUAAUCAAAAGAGUAGUUAAAAUUAAGGAAGCCCACCAGUUCAAACCAGUAAAAGAAUGCACUGCAUCAAUAAAAUGCUGAAGGACUUGAAUAGGGAAGAAAGAAUCAGCAGCAGCAACAGCAACUUCAUUCACAGCGGGGGCCUGCAUGGCAACAGCUUGGACAGUAGUGUCCGUGAGAACAUCAGUAACAUCACUCAUCAGCUCAAUCUUGUCUGACCCUUCACCAACUGUCGUUGACAUAUACCGGCAAAAAGAGGCCCCAAUGCUUGGUGAAAGAAAAAAAUCCAUGCAUCUUCUAUCUUGAAAGAAACCAAAUGCAGAUGAAUUACUAAAGCCACUUCCAAAUGCCCUCUGUUGUAAAAAAUUACUCAUCCCUUGCUGAGACGGACCUUCAUCAAUGCAGUUAUGUUUGUGAUCAUCAUCAUGAAGAACAUAGCUAAAUGAUGGGUGGUAUCUUUGUCUAACAAGGCUUGCUCUAGCGUAGAGGCUGCGUAUUUGGGCCAUUAUAUGAAAAACAGAGUUCCUCUGCAAUUCUGCUAGAGAGGACGGAGCAGCUGAGCAGCAGCUGCCAGUGAAUCGAGAUUAAGGGGCAAGGCGACCGGAAGAAGAUUAGAGUUACUGGCUUGGAGAAGGUGCGAUGGGAAAGAUUCCGUCAAAGGCACGAGGCCGAGAGACUGAGAGACCGAGUGAAUAUGGCGAUGGUCGAUGAGAGACAGAGAUAUAUUGUCUAAGGAAGCGGGCGUGCAGCUGCAGA